AACGCACCUUGCGCUCCUUGGCAUUCCGAGGAGCAUGCCUGUUUGAGUGUCAUUAAAUCCUCAACCCAUACUCUCUUGUGGUAUUGGUGUUGGACGUGGAAGCUGCUGGCUUGUCGAGUCGGCUCUUCUGAAAUGCAUUAGCAGGGCCACGCUGUGCGGCUUGGUAUUGAUAGUUGUCUUACCAGGUAGCAAGUUAGUCCAGCUUCAAGCCGUCUCUUUGAAGACAAUAUUGACGAUUUGACCUCAAAUCAGGUAGGACUACCCGCUGAACUUAA
rnacentral:misc_RNA from 1 species